CAAUUGUGUAAAUAUAUAGGUCAGGUACUAAAUUGAGAUCUCCCCAAAAUAAAAUGGAUUUGAUCUAAAAAAACCCUUUUUAAGUAAAACGAAGCGUUUUCAACACUCUCAUCCAGCGAUAUCUCUCUGGCCUUUGCGUAGGCAAUCACCAAACUGAGCGGUGCCUCUUUCUGCCCCUGCUCCGAGCUCCGCCGUCCGGCCUUCUGCGUCGGCUGUCUCAUGUGGUGAUUACAUUGAGGAAGAGAGAUGAAGCUAGGCCUGAGCCGAGCAUGUUUUUAUAGCAGCUGUUCUGCAUCGAUUUUCUCUUCUUCAAUCCCAUCUUUAACAACAAUUAAACCAAAAAUUCCUCUCUUUUUGAGGCCGCCCACUUAUUCAGUAGCUUCAUCAGACCUUCAAAAAUGGCAUGGAUGGGCAAAAAGCCUUGCCUCCUCCGUUGGGUCGUCUUUUGUGGAGUCUGAUGAUGGCCCUGACUCCACUCUUCUGUGCCGGGAGCUAAAUUGGCUCCUAGAGGACUCACUUGAAAACCGCUCCUCCUCCUCAUGCUUUUCCUUUGCCGCUUGUAAUUAUGAUAGUUUAGAUGGAAUUGAGAAUGUCAUGUUAAGAAUAAGUUUGGAUGAUCUUUACCAGUUAUGGAAGCAGAGGAUUGAAGAGAGGAGGCCUUUCCAGUAUAUAGUAGGGUGUGAGCACUGGAGGGACUUGGUGCUGAGCGUGCAAGAAGGGGUGUUGAUUCCAAGGCCAGAGACAGAAUUGAUUGUUGAUCUAGUGAGCGAUGCGGUUUCCAAUAAUGAAGAAUUGGGACAAGGGUUGUGGGCAGAUGUAGGUACUGGUAGCGGUGCUAUUGCUAUAGGUAUUAGCAAGAUUUCGAGGAGUUAUGGGAGAGUUAUUGCCACAGAUUUAAGCCCAGUCGCAGUUUCAGUGGCAAUGUUUAAUGUGCAAAGGUAUGGCCUUCAGCAUGUGACUGAAGUAAGGCAAGGAUAUUGGUUUGAGCCGUUAAAGGAUGUUGAAGGACAACUUGUAGGUAUUGUGAGUAAUCCACCAUACAUACCUAGUGACAAUAUCUCUGGACUACAAGCUGAAGUUGGUAGACAUGAACCAAGACUUGCGUUAGAUGGUGGUGCAAGUGGCAUAGAUUAUCUUCUUCAUCUUUGCAGUGGGGCUGCUGCAAUGUUGAAACCUGGCGGAUUUUUUGCUUUUGAAACCAACGGGGAGAAGCAAUGCAAGUUUCUUGUAGAUUACAUGCAAAAUGACAUUGCAGGAAGCUUUUGUAAUUUGAACAUUGUGUCUGAUUUUGCUGGUAUCCAAAGAUUUGUGACUGGGUUCCGUCAAUGAGCAAGUAACAUAAAAUGUUUCUUUCCCAGCCACCAAGGAAGUUGCAAGACAAGUUAUGUCUGCAGUGUAACUAGAUAUAUAAGAAUGAGCAGUUUACGAGGACCUCCAUCCCUUGAGACUUUGAGAGAAAAUGGCUAGAAUUGAAUUCUCCAGCUUGGUAUCUAACUGAACCUCAAAUGUAUCAUGUAUGAUGUGAUCUGAAGCAAACAUUUGAAUCUGGACCAGAGACAUGAAAAAAGAAGUCGGCCUUCUAAGAUAGUGUGGUAAAUAAAACUCCUCCGCAGGUCAGAAUUUUGAUUUAAAAGGUAGUGAACAUCCAGAACAAGGUGAGGUUACAUUUCAUGGCAACAGAGUUUAGCCCUCGAAGGAAAUCAUUGGAGGGGCAUGGUAUGUUGAAAGGAGCCUCGAUACAGAGUUUAUUAAGUCACUAAAACCGUAUUGUACAAACCAAAUAAAAACGCUGAAGGUGGCCACAGAGGAAGUUGCAGGCUUGAUCAACAGUUGUCAAGACUCAGAUGUUGACGUGACAAAACAGCAUAUUGAAGGGAUUGUGAGGACUUUGGUUUUGGACUAUGCGAUCAUGGAAGUGAAGAGUAAUGGAAUGGCUGAGUUUGCUUCUAUUCCUAUUGAUAAAGUUUGCUGUAAAUGCAUUAGCAAGGAGGGUCUUGAAGGGAAACCAAAAGCAGAGACAGAGGCAUAAGCUUCCAUCCCGUGUGAAUUUUGUCCAUGGAUAAGUCAUUGUACACCUGAUGACAUUCUCUUCGAAGACUAGUGUCGACUACAUGUGGUUAAAUUUUCUAUUUCUCAGCAUAUUUUUCUUACAUUUAUCUCAUUGUUUUGCAGUUUAGAUGUCGAAAGUCUUGUUUUCUGGAUAUCAUAUUACCAUUUAUAUAAUAUAUUUUGCAUUUCUGCUGUU